AUUAAAUGAGAGUUUGAUCCUGGCUCAGGACGAACGCUGGCGGCGUGCCUAAUACAUGCAAGUAGAACGCUGAAGACUUUAGCUUGCUAG
rnacentral:rRNA from 1 species